rnacentral:rRNA from 1 species
GGCCGCGGGAAUUCGAUUCAGGCCUAACACAUGCAAGUCGAGCGGUAGAGAGAAGCUUGCUUCUCUUGAGAGCGGCGGACGGGUGAGUAAUGCCUAGGAAUCUGCCUGGUAGUGGGGGAUAACGUUCGGAAACGGACGCUAAUACCGCAUACGUCCUACGGGAGAAAGCAGGGGACCUUCGGGCCUUGCGCUAUCAGAUGAGCCUAGGUCGGAUUAGCUAGUUGGUGAGGUAAUGGCUCACCAAGGCGACGAUCCGUAACUGGUCUGAGAGGAUGAUCAGUCACACUGGAACUGAGACACGGUCCAGACUCCUACGGGAGGCAGCAGUGGGGAAUAUUGGACAAUGGGCGAAAGCCUGAUCCACACAAGGCGCGUGUGUGAAGAAGGUCUUCGGA